rnacentral:rRNA from 1 species
AUACGGAAGGUGCAAGCGUUAGUCGGAAUUACUGGGCGUAAAGGGUGCGUAGGCGGAGAUGUAAGUCGGAUGUGAAAUCCCGGGGCUCAACCUCGGAAAUGCAUACGAAACUGCAUCCCUUGGGGAAUGGCGGAGAAAAUGGAAUUCCAUAUGUAGCGGUGAAAUGCGUAGAUAUAUGGAAGAACACCUGUGGCGAAAGCGGUUUUCUAGCCUCCUCCCGACGCUGAGGCACGAAAGCAAGGGGAGC